AGAGCGAACGCUGGCGGCAGGCCUAACACAUGCAAGUCGAACGAACUCUUCGGAGUUAGUGGCGGACGGGUGAGUAACACGUGGGAACGUGCCUUUAGGUUCGGAAUAACUCAGGGAAACUUGUGCUAAUACCGAAUGUGCCCUUCGGGGGAAAGAUUUAUCGCCUUUAGAGCGGCCCGCGUCUGAUUAGCUAGUUGGUGAGGUAAUGGCUCACCAAGGCGACGAUCAGUAGCUGGUCUGAGAGGAUGAUCAGCCACAUUGGGACUGAGACACGGCCCAAACUCCUACGGGAGGCAGCAGUGGGGAAUCUUGCGCAAUGGGCGAAAGCCUGACGCAGCCAUGCCGCGUGAAUGAUGAAGGUCUUAGGAUUGUAAAAUUCUUUCACCGGGGACGAUAAUGACGGUACCCGGAGAAGAAGCCCCGGCUAACUUCGUGCCAGCAGCCGCGGUAAUACGAAGGGGGCUAGCGUUGCUCGGAAUUACUGGGCGUAAAGGGAGCGUAGGCGGACAUUUAAGUCAGGGGUGAAAUCCCGGGGCUCAACCUCGGAAUUGCCUUUGAUACUGGGUGUCUUGAGUAUGAGAGAGGUGUGUGGAACUCCGAGUGUAGAGGUGAAAUUCGUAGAUAUUCGGAAGAACACCAGUGGCGAAGGCGACACACUGGCUCAUUACUGACGCUGAGGCUCGAAAGCGUGGGGAGCAAACAGGAUUAGAUACCCUGGUAGUCCACGCCGUAAACGAUGAUUGCUAGUUGUCGGGAUGCAUGCAUUUCGGUGACGCAGCUAACGCAUUAAGCAAUCCGCC
rnacentral:rRNA from 2 species